GUCAAGGCCUUCUCAAGGCAAUAUGCUUCUGAGAUAUGGCCUCACAUCGAGAAGUUAGAUGCAGAGAUAUUCAGUGAAAAUGUGCAUCCUCUUUUCUUGAAAGCAGUUUAUUCUGGUUUGCGUCGGCCAGUCUCUGAGGUGUCCUCAAGCUAAUGAAUUUGUACCUCAUUCAAUGUUAACAUCAUUUUUUCCUGCUUUUAUUGCUUAAAAUUUGUUAAUGUUUAUGAAUGAACAAAUUGAAGGGAAAAGGUUUGAGUUUAGCAUCGAUCUAUAGGCUUACCUAAGCUGAUUAAAAAAAAAAAAAUCCUAUUUUUCUCCCCAGCACUUCUAUGAACUAUAUUGUACAUUAGCAAGCAAGAUAGAAGUCGGAAGCUAACCAAAUCCGC
rnacentral:misc_RNA from 1 species